UACGUAGGGUGCAAGCGUUAAUCGGAAUUACUGGGCGUAAAGCGUGCGCAGGCGGUUAUGUAAGACAGUUGUGAAAUCCCCGGGCUCAACCUGGGAACUGCAUCUGUGACUGCAUAGCUAGAGUACGGUAGAGGGGGAUGGAAUUCCGCGUGUAGCAGUGAAAUGCGUAGAUAUGCGGAGGAACACCGAUGGCGAAGGGCAAUCCCCCUGGACCUGUACUGACGCUCAUGCACGAAAGGCGUGGGGAGCAAACAGG
rnacentral:rRNA from 1 species